rnacentral:rRNA from 1 species
GGUAGUCAAUAAACCAUUAUGUACUGGCGGUCUUAAUACAUUAGAGAAACUCGCUUUAUAAUCGUAAAUACUCGUUAAAUUUAACUUAAUUAAUUUAGUUUAUAUACCGCCGUUUAGAAUCAACUUAUUAAAAUUCAUUAAAUAAAUAUAUAAAAAAUCAGGUCAAGGUGUAGCCAAUAAUUAAGGAAAAGUAAGUUACAUUAAAAAUAAUUUAAGGACAUAAAAUAAAAAUAAAAUUGAAAAAGAAUUUAUUUGUAUUUUCUAAUUAAUAAUUAGAAUUGAAAUAAAUAUUUAAGAU